AUGAACGCUAGCGGCAGGCUUAACACAUGCAAGUCGAGGGGCAGCAUAAUGGAUAGCAAUAUCUAUGGUGGCGACCGGCGCACGGGUGCGUAACGCGUAUGCAACCUACCUUUAACAGGGGGAUAACACUGAGAAAUUGGUACUAAUACCCCAUAAUAUCAUAGAAGGCAUCUUUUAUGGUUGAAAAUUCCGAUGGUUAGAGAUGGGCAUGCGUUGUAUUAGCUAGUUGGUGGGGUAACGGCUCACCAAGGCGACGAUACAUAGGGGGACUGAGAGGUUAACCCCCCCACACUGGUACUGAGACACGGACCAGACUCCUACGGGAGGCAGCAGUGAGGAAUAUUGGUCAAUGGACGCAAGUCUGAACCAGCCAUGCCGCGUGCAGGAUGACGGCUCUAUGAGUUGUAAACUGCUUUUGUACUAGGGUAAACUCACCUACGUGUAGGUGACUGAAAGUAUAGUACGAAUAAGGAUCGGCUAACUCCGUG
rnacentral:rRNA from 1 species